AAAAAAAAAUCACUUUUAGGGACUGGGACUAUGGCCCAGUAGUAGAGUUCUUGCCUUGCAUACAUGAAGCCCUGGGUUCGAUUCCUCAGCACCACAUAUAUAGAAAAGGCCAGAAGUGGUGCUGUGGCUCAAGUGGUAGAAUGCUGGCCUUGAGCAAAAAGAAG